CAAAAAACCACUUAGACAGACUAUGAAGAGAUACAUAGGGUGAGAAACGGAGGCCUUCAGCCAACAGCUGGGAGAAGCUGAGUCCCGUCAGCAAUUCAAAAGACUGCAGCCCCAGCCAAGAGUUUGAUGUAACCUCAGGAGAGACCCUGAGCCAGAACCACCUAGGCCAAUGAGCUAUACCUAGUGAUUCCAAAGUCCACAUAUAUUUACUCUGUUCUCACUGUGCAAAGUAAGUAACCGCUCUGAAGUCAAAAAAGCUGGGAUACAUGAAGACUGCCAUCCCUUGAGUCACUUGCCCUGUAGCUGCCACUGUUGGAAAAGGGCUUGAUUCUGUGUCCUUGUGCCCACUUUGAAAAGCCCUGGGAAGUCCUUGGAGUCAGAUGAUCAGGCCUCCACCACUCUGCCAAAAAGUCUGUUCAAAAAAUAUGGGAGACCUCAAUCAGCUGAAGUUCAACAUGUUCAAAGGUAGACAAAGUUUCUUGUUGCUCUAAGGUAUUUUUCCUCUGGAAAUGAGCUGACUAGGCAUGCUACUUCUACUUGAAAGAGAUUGAUGCUUGUCUUACACCAUUUUGAGGUCACCACAGUACAUGACUCAGAAUCAUUAGACAAAUGUUGAUUGAAUAUCUCCUACAUUCCAAAUACUGUGUUGAAUGUGGUUAAAGCAUUAAAUGUUAAUGGAAUAUUUUGUACAG
rnacentral:lncRNA from 1 species